GUCGGGGAGCCGGCGGUGGGGCUGGACGCAGGUGAGGUGGCAGCGGACUCAGCCGUGCCCUGGGCCCUGGAUGCUCCGUGAGAGUCAGGGAACGCUGUGGGGGGGUUUGGGAUCGAGGGGCGUCGGGGCAUCCUGGGGCUGUGGUAGGGGGUCUGGCUGCGGUGAGGUCUCGCCGCGUGCUUGGGAGCCGCGCGACGCCUGUGCAGGGCUCCCUCCCGUAAGGGCUGGCCCUGGGGCCCUGCCGGGGAGUCCGAGCAGGUUUCCGGCUCCCAGGAUAGGAUCUUUGAGGGUGGCUGCGCCCCGAGGCCUGUCCUGCCCUGGAGGAAUCUGGCUCGCCAGGGCUCUCCAGGACCAGCCAGCCUCGAGUGGGCGUGGGCUGCACACAGGCGCCGUCUCGUGCCUGUCCCUGGCAUGCGGGCUUUGGCUGCGAACGGUGUUAACGACCUGCGCCAGGAGCCCCAGUCCCAAGGUUGUCUGCCGAGGGGAGUAGAAUGUACCUUUUCUCGGCCCAGUGGGGAGUCGUGGGUUGGGACCAGCUGCUCUGGGCUGGGUGGUAGCUCAGGACCCCGGUGGCGCUGUAGGCUGAGAGCUCCCUGGGGAACAGGGCUGCGACGAGGGAGUGCCUCGGUCCAGCUGGGUCUUUCUGGUUGCCAGUGGACUAUGUCCCCACUCUGAGGGCCUCACUCUGUGCCAGUUGCCACAGAAGAGUGGGGCUCCAAAGGAUGAGAGCAUGAUGACCUCAGCCUCCCACUAUUUGACACUACAGGUGCAACUGACAUGGGUGAACCCCGGGGGUCCAUGCGGAUUCUAGUGACAGGGGGCUCUGGACUGGUAGGCAAAGCCAUCCAGAAGGUGGUAGCAGAUGGAGCUGGACUUCCUGGAGAGGACUGGGUGUUUGUUUCCUCUAAAGAUGCCGAUCUCACGGAUGCAGCACAGACCCGCGCCCUGUUUGAGAAGGUCCGACCCACACACGUCAUCCAUCUUGCUGCAAUGGUGGGGGGCCUGUUCCGGAAUAUCAAAUACAAUUUGGACUUCUGGAGGAAAAAUGUGCACAUCAACGACAACGUCCUGCACUCAGCCUUCGAGGUGGGCGCCCGCAAGGUGGUGUCCUGCCUGUCCACCUGUAUCUUCCCUGACAAGACGACCUACCCCAUAGAUGAGACCAUGAUCCACAAUGGGCCGCCCCACAGCAGCAAUUUUGGGUACUCGUAUGCCAAGAGGAUGAUCGACGUGCAGAACAGGUCCUCACGCCCAUCCUGCUGAGGCCCAGCCAGGAGUGGGGGAGAGGGCCCCCAGGGGCGGGUGAGGCCGGCUGGUCGGGUCUUCGUGCCAGCCUCAGUAAGAGGCCAGCGGCAUCCUGGGGUGGGAUCACGGGCCCAGGACGAGGGCAGGAGACGCUGUGCCUCCGCAGGGCCUACUUCCAGCAGUACGGCUGCACCUUCACCGCUGUCAUCCCCACCAACGUCUUCGGGCCCCACGACAACUUCAACAUCGAGGAUGGCCACGUGCUGCCUGGCCUCAUCCACAAGGUGCACCUGGCCAAGAGCAGCGGCUCGGCCCUGACAGUGUGGGGUACGGGGAAGCCGCGGAGGCAGUUCAUAUACUCGCUGGACCUGGCCCAGCUGUUUAUCUGGGUCCUGCGGGAGUACAAUGAAGUGGAGCCCAUCAUCCUCUCAGUGGGCGAGGACGAUGAGGUCUCCAUCAAGGAGGCAGCCGAGGCGGUGGUGGAAGCCAUGGACUUCCAUGGGGAGGUCACCUUUGAUACAACCAAGUCGGAUGGGCAGUUUAAGAAGACAGCCAGUAACAGCAAGCUGAGGACCUAUCUGCCCGACUUCCGGUUCACACCCUUCAAGCAGGCGGUGAAGGAGACCUGUGCUUGGUUCACUGACAACUACGAGCAGGCCCGGAAGUGAAGCUGGAAGGCAGGAGCAGGUGCCAGCGGACCAUCGGCUGGCAAAGCCCAGUGGCCACCACCCGUCAACCCUGCCAGGAGCUGAGGGCAUCACCCAGCAACCUGGGCCUGCAUUCCGUCCGCUCUGCAGCCCCAAGCAUCUGUCCAGUGGGGCCCCCAUUCACAUUGGUCCUCAGGGAAACCAGGGCCCAGGCAGGCCCAGCGCUUUGCUCCCCACACCAGCCCCCAGCCCUGCGUGUGUCCACUCUGAUCCUGCAUCCCACUCCCUGGGAGCCAAUAAAGUGCAUUUUCACGGGC
rnacentral:sRNA from 1 species